rnacentral:ncRNA from 2 species
AAGAGGGAACCCGGUGCGAGUCCGGGACUGCCCCGCAGCGGUAUGGGGGAACGAACGUCGCCAUGAGCACUGGUAGUGCCGGUCGCGGAGACCGCACACCGGGAAGCGGCGGCCAGUAGGAGGAGCGGUGUCGGCACCGCCCGCGCCCCCGAGUCCGAAGACCU